AUUGAACGCUGGCGGCAGGCCUAACACAUGCAAGUCGAGCGAGAGGCGGACGGGUGAGUAAUGUCUGGGAAACUGCCUGAUGGAGGGGGAUAACUACUGGAAACGGUAGCUAAUACCGCAUAACAUCAGAUGUGCCCAGAUGGGAUUAGCUAGUAGGUGGGGUAACGGCUCACCUAGGCGACGAUCCCUAGCUGGUCUGAGAGGAUGACCAGCCACACUGGAACUGAGACACGGUCCAGACGCGUACGUGAGGCAGCAGUGGGGAAUAUUGCACAAUGGGCGCAAGCCUGAUGCAGCCAUGCCGCGUUGGGGAUGAAGGCCUUCGGGUUGUAAACUCCUUUCGACAGGUACGCGGUACCUGUAUAAGAAGCACCGGCUAACUACGUGCCAGCAGCCGCGGUAAUAC
rnacentral:rRNA from 1 species